rnacentral:tRNA from 1 species
GCGCAAUUGGUUUAGUGGUAAAAUCCAACUUUGCCAUAGUUGGGCCCCCGGUUCGAUUCCGGGAUUGCGCA